rnacentral:rRNA from 1 species
UACGUAGGGGGCAAGCGUUGUUCGGAAUGACUGGGCGUAAAGGGUGUGUAGGUGGUUUGAUAAGUUAGAUGUGUAAUACCCAGGGCUUAACUCGGGUGCUGCAUCUAAAACUGUUAGACUUGAGUACUGGAGAGGAUAGUGGAAUUCCUAGUGUAGCGGUGGAAUGCGUAGAUAUUAGGAGGAACAUCAGUGGCGAAGGCGACUAUCUGGACAGCAACUGACACUGAGGCACGAAAGCGUGGGGAGCAAAC